UACGUAGGGUGCGAGCGUUAAUCGGAAUUACUGGGCGUAAAGCGUGCGCAGGCGGUUCGUUAAGUCAGCUGUGAAAGCCCCGGGCUCAACCUGGGAAUUGCGGUUGAAACUGGCGGACUAGAAUCUGGCAGAGGGGGGUGGAAUUCCACGUGUAGCAGUGAAAUGCGUAGAGAUGUGGAGGAACACCGAUGGCGAAGGCAGCCCCCUGGGCUAAGAUUGACGCUCAGGCACGAAAGCGUGGGGAGCAAACAGG
rnacentral:rRNA from 1 species